AGUUGCGUUGGAGCCGUCCUUGAAAUACCACCCUUGUAUGUUUGAUGUUCUAACUUAGACCCGUUAUCCGGGUUGAGGACAGUGCCUGGUGGGUAGUUUGACUGGGGCGGUCUCCUCCCAAAGAGUAACGGAGGAGCACGAAGGUGGGCUAAUCACGGUUGGACAUCGUGAGGUUAGUGCAAUGGCAUAAGCCCGCUUAACUGCGAGAAUGACGGUUCGAGCAGGUGCGAAAGCAGGUCAUAGUGAUCCGGUGGUUCUGUAUGGAAGGGCCAUCGCUCAACGGAUAAAAGGUACUCCGGGGAUAACAGGCUGAUACCGCCCAAGAGUUCAUAUCGACGGCGGUGUUUGGCACCUCGAUGUCGGCUCAUCACAUCCUGGGGCUGAAGUCGGUCCCAAGGGUAUGGCUGUUCGCCAUUUAAAGUGGUACGCGAGCUGGGUUUAGAACGUCGUGAGACAGUUCGGUCCCUAUCUGCCGUGGGCGUUGGAAGAUUGAAGGGGGCUGCUCCUAGUACGAGAGGACCGGAGUGGACGAACCUCUGGUGUUCGGGUUGUGUCGCCAGACGCAUUGCCCGGUAGCUAAGUUCGGAAU
rnacentral:rRNA from 1 species